AAAGAUUCAGAAAAAUAAUUUAUUUAUCUCCCCGGUAGUUGACAACUCUUGAGUUGUUUAGGGUGCAUGGUAAAUCAAAUAUAUAAUAUUAAGCAAGCACUCCAUAUAUUAAAAAUAAAAGCUCUGCAACUUAUCCAAAUUUCAGUUGUCAAUUUAGAUAAGCUCAAAGCUAGGGAUAUUAGAAACGUAGACCUGCUUAUAAUAUAUAAUUUAAUAUUAAACUAUAGUAUAAUAAAGUAUUUAAAAUAUUUAAUUAUAUUAUCUCUUGCUAAACAUAAUAUAAUCUUUUAUUAAAUAGGGUUGUUAACAUUAAAUUGCAACCUGCACUGGUAACAUAUGCCCAUAUAUUGUAUACCGCUAACUACAACUGUGAAGAACGAAACUAGUGCAAGUGGCACACAUCAUUAUGAUGCCUCUUAUUUAUUUUCUUUUUAUUUACUUUCAUAUUAUAUACAUGCUUUUUCUGAAGACCUAAUAAUAAUAAUAAUAAUAA
rnacentral:misc_RNA from 1 species